UUCCCGCUAGUGCCAAUAAAAUAUUUUCUCUUUCUGAAAAAACCCUAGCGUCUCUCUCUAUCUCUAUAUCUAUCUCUCUGUGUCUCACACCGAGGCACCACCACCAUCAACCCACAUCCUCACACCAUCACCAAGCCCUCGCUCUCUGUUCCAACCCCCCUGCCGCAAGCUUCUCCCGCCGAACCUCUUGGCUGCCGCUGCUGCUCUCUCCUCUCUUCUCGGUCUCGCUUUUUCUGGCCGAUUCUCGGUCGAGGAGAAACCACAUCUCUCCGCCGGCCACCACAGUUCCAGUUCCGGUCAUCUUCUCCAGCCAAAAAUUUCAGGCCGAGUCUCUCUCUCUUGUUUUUCUCUCGGUUGAGUAACUUGAUUUGCAGCUCUGUUUCAUCAAUUUUUAGAGUGGCAGGAAGGCUAUUCUGAUUCUUGACAUGUCGUGUCGCUGAAACUUGCAAGCGUCGUCUAAAAUUCGUUGCUUUGAUUUGAAAGACGCAUUUGUUAAAGCACUUUCAAUUGCAUGGCCUAUCAAGUACAUCAAAAUUUAUGAUAGAAUAUCAAACAAUAAGAAGAGUUCAUGACAUUUCUCCAAUAUAAUUCGUGCUUUUCAGAGAUCUUAACUUGUUCAAAAAAGGACGCGGAGGGUCACGUGGCCUUGAAUAUAAAAUAAUAUAUAAAAAAAAUGGUGGCAGAAAACCUCGUAUUACCUUGAAUAUAAAAUAAUAUUAAAAAAAUGGUGGCAGAAAACCUCGUAUUACUUUUCAAUUCAAUGAGGGUCUGGUCAACAAUCUUUCCUUACUAGCUCAAUCGAUUUUGGCCUCGUAGACCUCUUCUAUGGGUGCUACUUGUCACUUAGUAAGGUUUUACAUUGAUUGCAAUCUAGCUCCCCUUUUGGAUUUUGAUUUCUUUUGGGAUUUUGAUGUGUAUGCACUUAGUAUUGUAUAAUAUCGGAUUCAGAUAUUAACAUUUUGAUAUGUGCUGGAAUUAUCAUUUUAGAUGAUUUGCACAUUUUAAUAUCUAAAUUCUUAAUGGAAUAUGUGUUUUAUCUUCUA